rnacentral:lncRNA from 1 species
AUGGUCCAACUGAACCUGCAAAAACUGACAGAACUCCAAAUUGUACUGAACUUGUUCAAAGCAACUGGUACCCAGGAAGGUGGAGACUGCCCUACCUACAGGCCACUCUACCAGUUGGCCUCCAUCUGUUAUUCCAUGCACAUAACUCAAGUGAUUAUCACCUUCAAUUGAACUGAAGGAGACAGCGAGGCAGACUCACAUACAUUGUUUUCUAUCCUGUAUUCUGCGAGUUAGAAUGGUGAUGUGAUUCCAUUAAAAUAACACUAGGACAUGGGAUAAAGAUUUCUCAGACCCUGUUUGUUACUUUACUGGCGGAGAGACCUAUGCAAUUAAUCCCUCUCAACAAGGACUACCAAGUGCGUGGAUGCACACCGUCGGGGACUAUGUAGCACAGAAUCUCUACCCUGGAGAGGCAAACUAAUUCUAUUUGCUCUUUCUUUCCACGGAGGAUAAUAAAAGUUCUUCCUUGUCUUUCA